rnacentral:rRNA from 1 species
UACGUAGGGUGCGAGCGUUGUCCGGAAUUACUGGGCGUAAAGAGCUCGUAGGUGGUUUGUCGCGUUGUUCGUGAAAACUCACAGCUUAACUGUGGGCGCGCGGGCGAUACGGGCAGACUGGAGUACUGCAGGGGAGACUGGAAUUCCUGGUGUAGCGGUGGAAUGCGCAGAUAUCAGGAGGAACACCGGUGGCGAAGGCGGGUCUCUGGGCAGUAACUGACGCUGAGGAGCGAAAGCGUGGGGAGCGAACAGG